rnacentral:rRNA from 1 species
UACAGAGGGUGCAAGCGUUGUUCGGAAUUAUUGGGCGUAAAGCGCACGUAGGCGGUUCGUUAAGUCGGAUGUGAAAGCCCUCGGCUCAACUGAGGAAGUGCACCCGAAACUGGCGAGCUUGAGUACGAAAGAGGAUCACGGAAUUCCCGGUGUAGAGGUGAAAUUCGUAGAUAUCGGGAGGAACACCGGUGGCGAAGGCGGCGAUCUGGGUCGAUACUGACGCUGAGGUGCGAAAGCGUGGGAAGCAAACAGG